AGGUUUGUCCGCGCUUCGCGCAGGUUGUUCGGUUUAAAAUUUAUGAUUUUGUUGGAUAAUGUUCAUUGUCAAUAGAUAUAGAGCUUUUGAUAUGGUUGUAUUUUAUGUGUUUGGCAUGCUAGUGUAAAGUUUUAUGUAAUGUGUAUAUCGUAAAUAUAGUGGGUGUAACAUAGUAAAUGUUUUGGCUUAGGGUUGUCUUUAAGGUCAUAGAGAGGGGACUGAUGAAAGAAGGGGGAAUGUUACUAUGAAAUUGUGGAAAAUACUAAGCAAAAACUCUGAUAUUUUCCGCAAUAGUGAAACAGUAUUUGCUAUGAUAUUUGCCAAUUUUUAAUAUUAUGUAUAGUAUAAGGAUGUUGAAAACUUGUAGCCUAAUGUUGUUUGUAAACAAUAGGGCUCGGGGGAGGUUUGUUUUGAUGAAUUGUUUUUUGCAUGUGUUUGUGGGUUGUUUCUUCAUUUUUUUUCUAUAAAAUUUACGAUGAUGUUUGUAAUUUUAUUAAAAUUGCAAAUUAAAUCUUUGAGGAAUAUACUUUAGUAAUAUUUGAAAGAAAGAGAGGAGCUAGUGUUUUAAAUGCAAGUAUGGAGAGGUGCUAGUGUGGCAAUGGCUAACAUGACGACCAUUGAUAAGGAUAAUGUCAAAAUUAUAUAUACUUAUUAAGUUUUUAAGGUCAAUGAUGGCACUUUUAUUCCAUUAUCGAUUGCCACUUCUGAACUUAGGUUGUUUUGUAAAGAGAUACGAAUGGCUUAUAUAUGUGCUAAGCUAGUGUGGUGGUUAGAGUUUUCAUGUUGUGGUCCAAUAAUUGAGUUCUUCCACGGUAGUGUUGGAAGUUGGUGGGCUGAGAUUAUAUGAUGGGCUAUUGAUUAAGGAUGUUGGAAUGAAUUUGUUGAUUAUAUGUUUAAUAAGUGUUUUUAGUCACUUAUGAUUUGAACUUCUUAUCAUAGUAAUGAACUGGGAUGGUAGAAGCUGGUGUUGAAGUUGAAACCCUUAAUUUUUUUUUAAAUCGUAGUUGCAGGACAUGAGUUUUUAGAACUGAACUCUUUAGAUGCUUUCUGAUAAUUGGUUUCCAUGCUUCCCUUUCUACUGGUUGAGGAAUGUUUUAAGUGAGCUUCUUCUGGGAGAUUUGAAUGUUGUUAUGUUAUUGUUUUGGAAUUAUUUAUUCAUUUGAGGAAAAUUUGGUGGGGCAUUCAAGAUUUUUUUUUUGGUUAUAUGAGGUGAUCUAACCGUGAUGAUGAUGUUGUAGGUCAGAUUUCAAGUGGAUUUGUGGAUUUGUUGAAGUUUUUGAUGAAUUUGUAAUAAUUUACAGGCUGAUCUGGGGAAACUUUGGUUGGUUUCCGUUCAUGUUCGGCCUCUGUGGUAAUUUAAAAUUUGUUAAUCAUAUCAAUUUAUGAAUAUAUUGCGAGGGUGGGGUGUGUCUGAUUUUCCCAGUGGUGGUGUCAUCGGUUUUUAUUAGAUCGUUGU
rnacentral:lncRNA from 1 species